GCGAGGAGGAAGAGAGGAAGAACGCUCGACGCCAUGGCGGUUCCAAGCAUGGACGUCAAUCAAUCGAUCGAGGAAGAGAUGCCGGAUUUCUUCUUCUCUGGAACGACUACUUCAAAGAAGUUCCUCGCUUUCCCGAACAUUUGUUUCGACGAAGAUUUAGGAUGUCGCGUACUUUGUUCAACCGCAUAGCUGAUGGUAUACUUGAGCAUGACUAUGAUGGUUAUUUUACGCAAAAAAGAAGUGCUUCUGGAGCUCUUGGGUUACAUCCUCUACAAAAGAUGACCGCGGCAAUGCGGAUCCUCACAUAUGGAAUAGCAACUGAUGGUGUUGAUGAGUACAUUCGGUCCGCUGAGGCUACUAAUUUAGAGUCUUGCAAGAAAUUUGUAAUCAAAGUUUGUGAAGUUUUUGGGGAAGAGUACCUGAGAUCUCCAAAUGAAGAAGACAUCGCUAGGUUACUUGCAAUAGGGGAGGAAAGAGGAUUUCCCGGUAUGUUAGGGAGCAUAGAUUGCAUGCACUGGGGGUGGAAAAAUUGCCCCAAAAAAUGGCAUGGCAUGUUUAGAGGCCAUGUGAACGAGCCCACUAUGAUCUUGGAAGCAGUUGCUUCACAAGAUCUUUGGAUUUGGCAUGCUUAUUUUGGUUUACCAGGGUCUCUGAAUGAUAUAAAUGUUCUUCAACUAGCAGAAAGCAGUAAAUGUCUUUGUAAUGCAGCUAUCAAUAAAGUUGAGUGAUGUAA